ensembl:lncRNA
UCUGAUGAAGAUCUGUUUUUUUAUUUACAGCAGUAGAAAAUUCACAAACAUAUAAAAAGAUUAAUAUCAUACAAAAUGUAAUUUUAUAUCAAGUUCGUUUAUAAUUCCACUGAUUUAUGUCAGAGGGGUGUAGCAGCUCCCCCAAACACACUUCUGUGGCAGAAUCGCAGAAGGUCUGGACGCUCUACAAAAGACAAAAAUUAAACAACACCAACUUAAAUAUCUUUACUGAACAUUAUUACAGGAAACAUGAACCUCAAACAAACAUGACUGCAUUUCACUUACUGCCUUGUUUUCCUGAGCUGCAGAGGCAUUUGUUCAGAGCCUGUUUCUCUUUGCUGUCUAUGGGUAGGAGUGGUUGGGGACACCUAAGUUUGCCCCUGAAAGACUCUGCAAGAGAGAAUAGAGGUGGUCACUGAAACCAUUUCACUCCAGUCAUUGCCAGUUAACCAACUUUAUGUGGCAUCAUGGUAACGUUUACAAUGGCACAGAUUUGCAGUCGAUCUUUUCAAGAUAGGACACACUUCAAUGUAGCAUCAUAGCAGCCCUGAGGACUGCAAUGUUGGUGUUUGUGUGUUUUGUUGCAGUUACAACUGCAACAAUGACAUUACCAAACAAAACUGUAAUGGGUUUUGUAAAAGCGCUAUACAAAUACAGGCCAUACAGGCCAAAACUGCUGGUAACUUACUUGUGCAUCUGCAUCUGAGAAUAUCCUGUUUGGUCACACCAGACUGAGCAGCAGACUCUGCCCUCAGUGAAAAAGAAAAGCAAACAAGUGAGAAAUCAUUUAUACGAACGUAAAACAUUAUCCAUCAACCCCGUGUAACAUUUCCUCUCAAACUCACGGGCAGUGGUGCACAAUAGUUUACAUUUAAAAUGAGUCAGUUAGUUAUCGUCCCGUUGGUGAGUAAAACAGCAACAUAACCAUCCAUGCAUAUAAAGUUCAAAACUAAUGAUCCUCGUAUGUACCUGUGCUAUCACACAGGCUGCUGACCAGAAUGAUGAGCAGCAGCGUCAUCCCUGUGAUCCUGGACAUGGUGGCGAAGGUUCGUCUGUUCCGUCUGACGUGUUCAGAUUCUUCUGCAGAAGACGAGGAUCUGAGUUUUAUACCCCCGCAGUGAGUCCACGCUGACACGGUAUAAAGUUGUGAAUCGAUGCCUCCAUCAAACAAAGGUUUUGUCUACUUCUUCAGGGGCCACAGCUAACAGAAAUCAGCUCGAGUAGCAUUAAAAAUACUGCAGCCUGAAAAUAUAUUAUGUCUGCUCAGAAAUGUAGGACCUGAUUAUUAACAGUAACUGACAAUAAGACAAGAACAGGACGUGUGAGGCUAACAUGUGAAAAGUGAUUCUGUGUCUUGAUUUUGUUGUUUUAUUGUUGUUUUCAGUUGAAGGCAUAAAAAAAUAAACCUUUAAAAAAAAAAAGAAGAUGAACAUUAUCAUCAGUUUAUAUAUCAGUGGACAUUCCUGCCUGUGUGGUGAGGGUUUUGUAACAGCAUUGAAGAAAUGAGUCAUUUAUUUCACAAGCA